rnacentral:lncRNA from 1 species
CGUGAUGUGGACGGAGAGCGGCGACGUCGGCAAGGGCUUCCGCUGCAUUCGCAUGGUGAACAACAUCCGCCUCAACUUCGACGCCCUCAACGGUGACAAGGACCACGGCGGCGUGCACGACGGCACCACCGUCGUUCUCUGGGAGUGGGCCAAGGGCGACAACCAGAGCUGGAAGAUCCUCCCCUGGGGCGAAGAGGCCUACGCCGGAGGCAGCGCCAACGCCCCCCGCGGCGGCUCCUCAGAGCCCACCGUGCGCAUCUUCUGCAAGGCCGACGACGGCUUCAGCGCCACCGUCCGCAACGGCACUGUGGUCCUCGCGCCCACCAACCCCCGCGACGAGUACCAGCACUGGUUCAAGGACAUGAGGCACAGCAACCGCAUCAAGGAUGAGGAAGGCUACCCGGCCUUCGCCCUCGUCAACAAGGUGACAGGCGAGGCCAUCAAGCACUCCCAAGGCGAGGGCCACCCUGUAAGCAACCAUCCAAGCCACUCAGAUCUUUUUCGAUUCAUUCGUCACUUGCAUGUAAAUUGUGGUGCCAUUGCGGUAAGAUCUGAGAGCUUGAGACUAAAUGAUUAACAAGAACUGUUUGGUUCGCUGUUGCUGUUGGAUCCAACAGGUGAAGCUGGUGCCAUACAACGCCAACUACCAGGACGAGUCAGUGUUGUGGACUGAGAGCCGCGACGUGGGCGCCGGCUUCCGGUGCAUCCGCAUGGUGAACAACAUCUACCUCAACUUUGACGCUCUCCACGGCGACAAGGAGCACGGCGGCGUUCGCGACGGCACCUCCCUCGUGCUGUGGAAGUGGUGCGAGGGCGACAACCAGCGCUGGAAGAUCCUCCCCUGGUGUAAGUGCCCCCUCACUCGCUCCCAUUUGCUUGCUAGUGGAGAACUUAACUUCUCCAUCUUCGCCUAACACUCACAACAUCUCCAUAAACUGGUGGAGUAGUCGGUAGAAGCGGAUGGAGUUGGCUUAUCUGCCAUCUUUUGAAUUAUUUGCGUUCCCUUUUGGCAAAUAUAUUAAUGUGUUUUUAUCGUUGCUUGCGUUUGCAGAAACGUGUCAUGCUGCUGAAGCUGAGUUGAUCGCCACCGUGACCCGGAGUUGGUAGAGAUCGGCCUGUGAUCUGUUGCCGCGUCGGUAGAAUAAAAGUCGUGUGCGGUCGGCGGUGGUGAUGUGUCCGUGAGUGUGUGUGUUUAGUUUCUGUCCUGUCGUUGUGUCCUGCUAUGGCGAGCUAUCCGAUGUAAUAAGCAUUUGGCACUUGUGCUUGUUUUUCAAACCAUGGAUCCGUGAUGAGAACCUCUGUACUGUGGUGCAAUCCUUUCAUCUAUGCGAAUGGUCUUUAUUGUCUAUAUCAAUACUUUUUCCCCACACCGAUCCAAAUAUGUUUGGAUUUCAUACAAACCGGACGCAAAUUCAAGUUAUACCCAUUUUACUUUAAUUUUGCUACUGCCUAUCUAUACUCCUAUAUAUAGUGUGUGAAGAACUUUAAAAGUUGGGAGUAUAGUGUGUGCCUAUCUAUACUCCUAUAUAUAGUGUGUGGAGAACUUUGAAAGUUGGGGUGUGAAGAACUUUAAAAGUUGGUCGUUGGAUGAAGACAAUUUGACGGUACAGAAAUGGCAAUCCGAGCACUACUAGCUGUUGGGUAUCAUCUAUAUUUUACUAGAUCCUACACAAGUACAAGUUAUAAGACUCCAUGGUUGAAUUUAAGCAUAAUGCACAAACCUCAAAACAAAAGUACUUUUCCUUUGUUCUAAAAUCUUCCACAUCUUAAUUGCCCAAACUUUUUUUUAAUGAAUUGUCACUUUUUAUGUUUAGGCUGGUUUCUCAUUGAUCAUAAGCAGGGAGCAGAUGGAGAAGUGACAAAGGCGAUGAUCUGAAGAUCAAGGAUAUAAGAAGAAGAAAGAAAAAGGAAAGUGGCGAAGGCACUGCCCUAGGCCAACUACUCAGGACGGGUCCCCGAAGGGGCUCUGCAAGAACCGAAUGCCACAAUGUUGCUAGAGGCUAAGAUUUCGCCGGAUUGCGCUAAGCACCUCUCUUUCAUCUGCUUCCUUGUCUCUGAAGGGGCCAUUGUUUCUUACUUGCCAAACUUCCCAGAGAGCUAACUUGACUAGCGAUUUUAUUCCUUUCCUGAAUGCUGUUUGGGUUGCUUCCACCAUGGUUGCAACCCUCUCCAGUGAGCUGGUGUUGUGGCUCCAAGUCGCUGGUUGACAUGCAUGGCAGUGCUGCCAAGUUGCCAAGUUGAUCCAAAUAGCCUUUGUGAAGCUGCAUUCCCAGAACAAAUGUUCAGCACUCUCCAGAUUUCUUCGGCAUAGUUGGCAGAAAUAGCUGUUACUCCAUCCUCCGCGUUGAAGGCGAUCAUUGCACCACAGGCGAUCCUGAUGGAGAAGCGAGGCAAAAAUUUUGAGCUUUGCCGGAGCCCAAGUGUACCAGAUGAUACUACAGAACUGGCUGGUCGAUGAUCCCAGGAAUUGGAGCGCAUAUGCCGAGCGGGAGCUGUAUUUCCUAGAGCCUUCAAAAUUCCAUCGGACCUGGUCAUGUACAUCCACCUAGAGGGUGAUAUGCAGCUGAUGUAUCUGUCGAUGUAGGGAAACUGCAUCUUGAGGCAGGGCACUACUGUCGCCAUGCGCGAGGUCCGCGAUCCAUUGGUCAGAAGCAAUGGCUUGGGCCACCGUUCUGUUCUUUAUUCGUGAGUGCGCGAACAGGGUUGGAAAGCUGAGCUUCAGUGGCACCGAGCCCAGCCAGUUGGUGUGCCAAAAACUUGCCAUCUGUCCGUUGCCGAUGGUCACUAUCGUGGCAGCGUUGAAGAGGGCGUGGUCCACAGCGUCACAGGGCAUCUGCGAUCCCACCCAUGGCCGAGGUGGUUGCUGCCAGGAUUGCCAUAGCCAACGCAGGCGGAGGGCUCGACUAAAUUUUUGCAGGUUCAAAACUCCAAGCCCUCCCAGCUUUAUCGGGGAGCAAACCCGAUGCUAGUUCACCUUAUAGAUCCCCCAGAGAGCUCUUGAUCCUUCCCCCAGAGGAAACAUCGCCUACUUUUGUCGAUCUCCUUCAACAACUUCCUUGGAAAUUUGAGGGCAGUCAGGGCAAAAGUUGGCAGGGCAGAGAGCACACACCGGACCAGGACACGGCCGGCGAUGGUGAGCAUAUGUCCUUUCCAACCAGCGAGUCUGGCUCUGAUGCGAUCCAGGAUGAACUGAAGAUGGACCAGACGAAUCCAACCGACGACGAGGGGGAGCCCCAAGUAUCUGAUCAGAAAAUGAGUUGUUGGCCCGCCGAAGGACUGAAGCACCGAAGCCAGGUCGAUGUCGUCGCAGCUGAUCGGCGUGGCCGUCGAUUUUGCUGUGUUAAUCCGUAGUCCAGUGGCAUCACUGAACCCUUUAAGAAUGCACAUCAAGUGGUCGAUCUCCUCUUUGUCGGGAUUUGCGAAGAUGAUCGCAUCAUCGGCGUACAGGCUGACCCUGAGUUUGAUUUCUCUGCCCAGAACCGGGGUGAUGUCGAGCACCUCUUCAGCAGCUUGGAGCAGGCAGUGGACGGGGUCGAUGGCGAUGAUGAACAGAAGUGAGGACUGAGGGUCGCCCUGCCUAAGUCCCCUCCUAUGCUUAAUUUUCCUGCCUGGUGACCCGUUGAGAAGGAACGCUGACGAGGAUGUGGAUAGCAUAAGCGUGAUCCAGUCUCGCCAGUGGGCACUAUAACCUAGCCUUGUCAUAAGCUCGAGCAGGUACUCCUAGGAGACAUUGUCGAAAGCCCUAGAGAUGUCUAGCUUCAGAAGCACUGCCGGUGUUUUUGUAUGAUGGAGAGUGUCGGUGUCAAAACCGGCGGAUCUCGGGUAGGGGGUUCCACGCAGUGCGUCUUAGGAUCAAUGGUAACAGGAGACAAGGGACACGAUGUUUUACCCAGGUUCGGGCCCUCUCGAUGGAGGUAAAACCCUACGUCCUGCUUGAUUAAUAUUGAAGAUAUGGGUAGUACAAGAGUAGAUCUACCACGAGAUCAAUGAGGCUAAACCUUAGAAGCUAUCCUAUGGUAUGAUUGUUGUUGUAUCUCUAUCGACUAGCCUGGCCCCGGUUUAUAUAAUGCACCAAAGGCCUAGGAUAACAAGAGUCCUAGCCGAAUACGCCGGUGGGGGAGGAGUCCUUGUCUUGAUCGCCAAGUCUUGUUGAUUCUUCCUUAUAUACGGCAGCUGUCCGGACUGGCCCAUGAGUAUACGGCCAUGGGGGUCCUCGGCCCAAUCCAACUGAUCGGGAGACGACGCGUUGAGUACCCCCUAGUCCAGGACACCGUCAGUAGCCCCCUGAACCGGUCUUCAAGUUAGGGACGCUCCUCGAUUCUUUCGAACUGUUCUUCAUCUUCGGUUGCCGGUCUUGAAAACUGGUUCAACAAAUCUUCUCAUCUUCUAUCUUGAGGAUCGCCGAAAUGCAUUCGACGAGUUUACACGUUGGGUAUCCAAGGAGCCCCUUUAAGUUUACGGCCUUUAUCAAUGCCUUGUUAUUUUUAUGCCAUGCCUCGGGUUUGAGGUUGUUCCCGGGCGGCAACGUCCUCUUGCGUCCGAGCUCCAACGCCGGACUGCAUUCGAGGUAUCUUUUGCAGCCGAGCACCAAUGCCGCACUGCUUCCCAGCUCUAACGCCGGACUAUGUAUCCGAGCUCCAACGCCGGAUGGUAUCCGAGCUCCAACGCCGGACUAUGUAUCCGAGCUCCAACGCCGGAAGUGCCCUCUAUGGAGCCAACCACUAGCGUCCGAGCUUUACGUCGGACUGCUUCUGAGGUGGUGCACCACCCCGAAUGUGGGGCGAUUUUUGUCAAUAUUUUUGAUUGGUGCUAGUAGCCCUCAAGGUGGGUAUCGGUCUAAAACCCGAGAUGCACAUGAAGGAUGACAUAAGACCGCUGAUCCCCGUAGCCGCUGAGACUCAUGUUGAUUUGCAAAAUCGGUCUGAGGAUCAAGUCCUAGCUCGGCAGAAUACUUCGGGACACAAAAAGCGGCGUGCUCAGUCCUCGAGACUCGGGUUGGGUGCGGUCGACCAACUUAAGGAUCAAAAUCUCCUCGGAAACUGUAUUGCACUUAAAAUUUUGUGCAUAGAACAGGCAAUGCAGUAGCCCCCGAGACACUGGUCGGGUGGCAACACCAGACCAGGGGAUCGAUGUGCCCCUUUAAUAUUUGUAAAUAAUAAGCCCGAAGCCCAGUAGCCCCCGAGCCUUCAUGCGGGCACGGGAGGCCGAAUUAAGGAUCAAUAUCCAUAGUAAAAUCACAAAUUAUGUGUAAUGACUCUAUGUAUCCAAGUACUUUACGUCAUUAAUGCUCGGAUCCGCAUUGUACAAAACUUUGUUGACCGACCAUCGGCUUCCACCUCCUCAGCCAAUAGCCGAGGAGUGUUUGUCCUUACUUUAUAAAGCCUUUAUGAGGGCAAAAAUUUACAACAAACAAGGCAAUCUGGCCAUACGGUUUUAUAAACAAAGGUACGCGGAGAGACAUGUUAUAUUACUGUUUAACAGAAGAAAUGUCUUCCAAAAAAAAUAGUCCCGCUAUCGGUUACUUUCUUUGAGUUGUCAUGCUAAGCAUGAUCAUGAAACCUCAGCCCCAAUGUAAGAGCAAAAUAUCAAGGAUUUAGUUUGAGAGGCCAGUUAAUAGCCCCCGGUAGUGUUCGGCGACAGUCGAGGUCAGGCCGUAAACACUUCGGCCGUUGUUAUGAAUGGCCCGUCGUUUAACGCCGUCAUCGGAUUGCCGACCAGUUUACGCUUAUUGUGGCAGUCAGUUUUCGGCUUUCUCCACUGAGGUGCUUAACCAUAUGAGCUGGAAGCACAAUCACAGUGGUUCUCCCUUUGCACACCUAGCCGAACAAAGCGGAACAUAGGAGGCAAGCGCAGGAGCCGGGCAACCCAACUAUUGACCGAAGACACAAUUCGAAACCGAUGCAUAUAUAGCAAUAUCCGAGAAUUUUUUUGCCGGAUCUCUAAAGGUGUCCGGCAUUGCACUGCGAGAUUUGUGCUGAAAACACACAAAUAGUUUAAAAGUGCCAUGGGCUCGAAAAGCCGAAAAACUUAUUCAAAAGGUUAAUGUCCGAACUAGAUCAAGUGUUCGGUGCCAAUCCGAAAAUUGGACUUUAGAAAAAAAA